GCCUCCACCGGAUCCACCGCCCGGGUCACCACCAGGUAGUCGCGCAGGACGAUCGAGUGACGAUUGUC
rnacentral:sRNA from 1 species